GUGAGAUGACUGAGUGGUCUAUGGCCCUAGAUUUAGGUAGUAUGUCCUUGACUGAAUGCUAUCUCUAGCCACUCGUGGCAUGGGUUCAAAUCCCACUCAUCAUA